UGGGGGAUCGUCUAACGGUAGGACAGCGGACUCUGACUCCGCCAGUCUAGGUUCGAAUCCUAGUCCCCCAGCCA
rnacentral:tRNA from 50 species